rnacentral:rRNA from 1 species
GAUGAACGCUAGCGGCAGGCUUAAUACAUGCAAGUCGUGGGGCAGCAUGAGUAGCAAUACUUGAUGGCGACCGGCAAACGGGUGAGGAACACGUACACAACCUUCCUUCAAGCGGGGAAUAGCCCAGAGAAAUUUGGAUUAAUACCCCAUAAUAUAUUUGAUAAGGCAUCUUAUUAAUAUUAAAGCUUCGGCACUUGAUGAUGGGUGUGCGGCUGAUUAGAUAGUUGGCGGGUAACGGCCCACCAAGUCUACGAUCAGUAGCUGAUGUGAGAGCAUGAUCAGCCACACGGGCACUGAGACACGGGCCCGACUCCUACGGGAGGCAGCAGUAAGGAAUAUUGGACAAUGGACCGAAAGUCUGAUCCAGCCAUG